rnacentral:tRNA from 1 species
GGAGAGAUGGCCGAGUGGCUGAAGGCGCACGCUUGGAAAGCGUGUUGUCGCGAAAGCGGCACAAGGGUUCGAAUCCCUUUCUCUCCG